UACGUAGGGGGCAAGCGUUGUCCGGAUUUAUUGGGCAUAAAGCGCUCGCAGGUGGUUCGUUGCGUCGUGCGUGAAAGACCCCGGCUCAACUGGGGAGGGUCAUGCGAUACGGGCGGACUGGAGGCCAGUAGGGGGAUGCGGAAUUCCGGGUGUAGUGGUGGAAUGCGUAGAGAUCCGGAGGAACACCAGCGGCUAAGGCGGCAUCCUGGACUGGUCCUGACACUCAGGAGCGAAAGCGUGGGGAGCGAACAGG
rnacentral:rRNA from 1 species